AUAUAAAAAUAAUAAAUGCUGCAGACAGUAGGUGCUUAUAAAAGCUUAAUUUCCUACCGAGGCAAUUAAAGCAAAAUGGUUUUGUUCCAUACAAAAUCAUGAAUUUGUUUAAAUGCUAAAGCCUUUCUGUUUCUGCAGAAAGGCUUUAUUUAAUUUGUU
rnacentral:sRNA from 1 species